GCUGCCAGGCAGGACGGGCUCCAGCUGCUCAAGGACAUCAAAAGCACCUUCAUCAGGUCAGUCCUUCCCUUCCCACUGGAAUCUCCUGGGAUUUUGGGGAUGGGGGGGGGGGAAAAUCCCACCCUGGGGGGGCUUUUCCAGCCUGGAACUGCCGGGAAUUCCUAAGGGGAAAU
rnacentral:lncRNA from 1 species